GUGGGGAAUAUUGGACAAUGGGCGAAAGCCUGAUCCAGCCAUGCCGCGUGUGUGAAGAAGGUCUUCGGAUUGUAAAGCACUUUAAGUUGGGAGGAAGGGCAGUAAGUUAAUACCUUGCUGUUUUGACGUUACCGACAGAAUAAGCACCGACUAACUUCGUGCCAGCAGCCGCGGUAAUACGAAGGGUGCAAGCGUUAAUCGGACUUACUGGGCGUAAAGCGCGCGUAGGUGGUUUUGUAAGUUGGAGGUGAAAUCCCCGGGCUCAACCUGGGAACUGCCUGCAAAACUGCAUGACUAGAGUGCGGUAGAGGGUAGUGGAAUUUCCGGUGUAGCGGUGAAAUGCGUAGAUAUAGGAAGGAACACCAGUGGCGAAGGCGACUACCUGGACUGAUACUGACACUGAGGUGCGAAAGCGUGGGGAGCAAACAGGAUUAGAUACCCCUGUAGUCC
rnacentral:rRNA from 1 species